rnacentral:tRNA from 1 species
GCCCCUGUAGCUCAGUGGAUAGAGCAUUGCCCUCCGGAGGCAGGGACCGGCGUUCGAGUCGCCGCAGGGGCGCUA